AAUCCAAAUGACUCUUGGCAAUGGAUAUCUCGGCUCUCGCAUCGAUGAACAACGUAGCGAAAUGCGACACUUGGUGUGAAUUGCAGAAUCCCGUGAACCAUCGAGUUAUUGAACGCAAGUUGAGCCCGAAGCCGUCAUGCCAAGGGCACGUCUGCCUGGGCAUCA
rnacentral:rRNA from 1 species